UACGGAGGGUGCAAGCGUUGUCCGGAAUCACUGGGCGUAAAGGGCGCGUAGGCGGCUCGGUAAGUAGGGGGUGAAAUCCUGCGGCUUAACCGCAGGGCUGCCUUCUAAACUGUCGAGCUCGAGCACGGUAGAGGCAGAUGGAAUUCCCGGUGUAGCGGUGGAAUGCGUAGAGAUCGGGAAGAACACCGGUGGCGAAGGCGGUUCUCUGGGCCUGUACUGACGCUGAGGAGCGAAAGCGUGGGGAGCGAACAGG
rnacentral:rRNA from 1 species